rnacentral:rRNA from 1 species
GCCAGCAGCUAUAUCACCCUGCAACUCACAACUACCAACCCACUGAAGCUCAGCAGGUGUGAGCCUGGCCAGUACCUGGAUGAGAGACCUCCUGGGAAAAACAGGUUGCUGCAGGAA